rnacentral:rRNA from 1 species
AUGUCCGAUCAGGAGCAGUCUCCUUGUUCCCUGGUCUAUCCACCGGAGUGGGACACCAUGACCGCAGACGAGCAGAUGUUGUGGUUUCUCGCGCAGCUAUCGGCGCAGAUGGAUAGCAUCAAGUCCGAGUUCGCGGCCGCGCGUGCGGGCGAUCCAGUCGGGGCUACCUCACAAGUCGAUCUGCCUGCCUCCCCUCCUCCUGCUACUGCUACCUCGUCUCACAUCGACCUCGCAUCCACGACUACUUCACCCACCAUCGACGAGGAGGUCCACGACACAUCCCCUGAGUCUUCCCUCGACAGCAACCGCCACGUCCCCGACACGGGCAUGGACGAGCACACAUGGGUGGAGGAUAUUCCAGAAGUCGUCACCGAGCUCGCCGUCCUCCCCGGCACCCCCUCCUCCACCACUGAGGCCCGGGUGGUCCCCCACGAUGCGUCCGAGGACUCCAUCAAUGACAAGCCCGUGACCUGUUCGACAGAAUGCUCGAACCAGGACAACAACACGAGGGCGUUCCCACCUUCAGUCAUGACAGUGCCGCUCCUCUCAACAGCCGCACCAAUGCUCGUCACGGAUCUCAUUCACUCGGGCACCGAUGCCGUCGUGCAGCCGUUCCGGAACCACGACCUGGACGUCUCGCCGGGGCAUGCAGGGCUGCUGAUACGGGCGUCACCAUGGCCAUCGUUUCUGGUGGAUCAUAUUGCAGAGGGAAACGAGGUCCGACCGACUCCGUGGUCAUCAUUUCAGAUGCAUUUUGCUGACGGCAAUGAUGUACGGCCCGCGCCGUGGCCGUCGUUUGCUGGUUCUCUUGAAGGCACGACUCUGAAUUAUGAAGGGCUGCUGUUGCAAGUUACUUAUGUGGUGCAGCGUUUGCCGGUUGCUCUGAAUUUUUUGAGAGAAUACUGGAGGUAUCUACCAAGUGUGCGACUGAAGUCGUUUGAAGUCAGUGUGCCAUUAGAGAAGUGUGAUUGUGUGCAUCUUGUAUCAGCAGACGGAAACGAGGUCCGACCCAUUCCAUGGCCAUCGUUUCUAAUUGGAAGGUUCAUGAAGCAUCUAAUUAUGUUAGUUCAAGUGCAUGACAGUGGUUUGAUUAGUAGUAGAUUUCUGAUGGAAUUAAGCCAUGUUGGAAAUCUUGUGUGUGGUCUUCUUGGAAACGGCAUAAGGAUAUUCCCAGGUCAGCUCCUAUGUUUGUGGUCUUUGCAACAAGAUGAAGAUGAUUCAUGCCUCAAUACACAUGUGAAGCUCUUUCAUUACAGUAAACAGUGGUUUUCUGAACUUUGUGCAUUUGCUGAACAAGAGCAACUCACUUUCUUGGUUUCCACUAAGCACGAUUGUGGUAGUGAGAUGAUCUGUUAUUGUGCACAUCCCGGAACAAAUAGCAAUGAUUUCACCAUUCAGUCUGAUCUCCCUAGUUCUUUUGAACAAUUACAAUGUGGAGUUGCAUGGACUCUCAGUUUUGUGCGGAAAACAACUGUCUGCAGGCCCUGCCUUAGGCAUGAUUUUCAGUUUCUGCUACCAUCCAACAAUCCUCGAGAAGUGCAUGGUUUGUCUGAACUACAAAUUGUAGAAUUUAUUGAGCAUCAGUUUAUUAAUCAUGUGCACAUCAGUGAGUUGGCUGGCUGUUUUUGCCUUGAGAAAUUAUGGGGUGCUGGUGACAUUGUGCAUCAAAGCCAGGAGCAGUGGAACUUGUCGGAACAUCACUUUCUGGAGCAAGCUGCUACAUGUAAUAUUCCUUGGCAUGAGAAGUUGCUAGGGACCAUGAGGACCAUGAGCAUGUAUUGGCUAUUUUUGAGUCAAAGGGAAUAUAAGAGGAGUGACCAUCUUGAUAUGAACUGCAAUUCUAAACAAAUGAUUGGUGGUUCUGGAGCUAGAAUUCCGCUUACUGUACUACUGGUCCCUUUCGAGUUUCGCUCCUCAUUUGGUGAAAUAAUGCUGGGUGGAAAUGCUUAUCAACAGCUUAUGGUACAUAUCGCCACAGCCUUCCCAAGCGAUCUACCAGCGAAGUACUUGUUUGACGACACUACUGGACCUGUUCACCAUUUGAUACAGAAACCUAUUGUAGCUAAGUUGCAGCAACAUGUUACAGAGCCUGGGAAUUAUUUUGCAUUGUUUCAGCUGGAGUCCCCAAGGCCACUUAACAUCAUUAUUCUUGCUCAGUUGUCUUGCUUCAGUAAGAAAGCCAUAUGUAACGCCCUCGAUGCGGCUAUAUCUUUCACGUGUCGAAGCACGACUUAG